CAGAAAGGUUCUGUCACUGGUUCUACAUGAUGUUGCAGAGGUGAAGGGACCCAUGUUUGCAAAACUGAGUUUAACCACCUCUGAAGCUGAGUCUCCAGGGCUCUAAACACAUGAGAGUAGCUGAAGGUGACAGUACCGGU
rnacentral:snoRNA from 1 species